rnacentral:rRNA from 1 species
GUGGGGGAUAUUGCACAAUGGGGGGAACCCUGAUGCAGCGACGCCGCGUGGGUGAAGGAGCAUUUCGGUGCGUAAAGCCCUAUCGGCAGGGAAGAAAGAGACGGUACCUGACUAAGAAGCCCCGGCUAACUACGUGCCAGCAGCCGCGGUAAUACGUAGGGGGCAAGCGUUAUCCGGAUUUACUGGGUGUAAAGGGGGCGCAGACGGCAGUGCAAGCCAGGAGUGAAAGCCCGGGGCCCAACCCCGGGACUGCUCUUGGAACUGCAAAGCUGGAGUGCAGGAGGGGCAGGCGGAAUUCCUGGUGUAGCGGUGAAAUGCGUAGAUAUCAGGAGGAACACCGGUGGCGAAGGCGGCCUGCUGGACUGUGACUGACGUUGAGGCCCGAAAGCGUGGGGAGCAAACAGG